CUUAAUCCCCAUUUUACAGAUGAGGGAACUGAGGCCCAGAGAAGUGAAGUGACUUGCCCAAGGUCACACAGCAGACAACCGGUGGAGCUGGGAUUAGAACCCAUGACCUCUGUCUCCCAAGCCCGGGCUCUUUCCACUAAGCCACGCUGCUUCUCAUAGUACAGUGUCUGGCACAUAGUAAGCUCUUAACAAAUGUCAUUUUAAAAGAAAAAAAUGAGGGCUUCCAGCCCCUUGGGCCUUAGGGGUCCAUCAACCAGCCCUCUGGGCCAGUGAGAAGGCAGCCCACGAGGGCAGGGAAUGUGUCGGUUAUGUUGUUAUAUUGUUCUCUCCCCAGUGCUUAGUAUAGUGCUCGGCACACAGUAAGCGCUCAAUACAUACAAGUGACUGACUGAGACGGCCCCCGCCCAGCAAAAAUACCCUGUCUCUACUGCCCCAGGCUGAUUGUUUUCAAGCCCUUCCAGUAGCAAACCCCCCUCCCGCUAGCUGGCUAACAGUCCCAGCACGGUAGCACCUUUGGCCAGUGUUUUCCACCUCCCCGGGCUUUGCCCUGGACGGGCCUGGCCGACACGCAGCCGAUCAGAAGGUUUUGCAGGAGACGAACUCUGCCAUUGGCCGCACCACCUGACUCCCACGCAUGAAGGACCUCGCACAGGAGAGAGAGGAAGCGGGGCCUGGUUAUGGGAUUGAUUGGAGCGGCAGUCCGUGCCCUCUCUGACCUCCAAAUUGAGAACGAUCACUUUAGGGAGAAAUAAAGAAAUAGAAGAGAACCGGGGUACGGGUCAGCGGGGCUGGGCGGGUACCGAGGACGGGAAAUGGAAUCUUUAAACGCCACCUGAUUCCAGAGAGUCAGGGUGAAUAGGGAGAGGGCCAAGCCGGGGUGGGAAGGAUGGACUUUUGAGAAUCUGUGGGGGUGGAUGUGAAGGAGCCGGUCCCCCCCAACUCCCCGCGGAAGGGUCGGUCAGCCCCAGCAUCCUCAGCGGCGGGAGACACGCCAGCGCCGUCCGUGUCCGGCCCGGUCCAGAUCCGUCCCGGAAUCUCGUCUUUGGCUGCAGAAAUUUCAGCUGCGGUUGCAGAUGUUUUUGUGUGCGUGACUGAGGCCAGGCAGGGGCCUGCUCCGCUAUCACCGGGAGAAUCUGGGCACAGAUCGUUCCACCUGGGUGGGGAGGGGGACUGAAAUAAUAAAACCGCAGGAUGGUUUGGGGGACCGUUGAUUUCAUUCUCUCGUUCCAAUAAACGAGAGCCACGCGGCAGCCGGCCGGGCUGCGGAAGCAUCCCAGUCGGCUAAAAGACUGAGAGGGUCUUCGGGCGGGAGGUUGGCCGUGGUUAAUGGAACCGUCCGCGAGGGCUGGAAUCAAAACUAUUCACAGAUUGAGAAAGGAGGAAGAGGAAGAAAAUGGAUAGCAGAAAGUAGUUCAGAUGUGUCAAGAUGAAAUAGCUCGAUGGUAAUGAUUGAGUAUACAGAUAAAAAUACAGAUUUGCCAUGGGUACGUAAGUGUCUGGGGUAGUAAGCAACGUGGUUUAGUGGAAAGAGCACUGGCCUGAGAGCCAAGAGACCAGAGUUCUAAUCCGGUCUCCAUCAUUCGUCUAUUGUGUGACCCUUGGCAAAUCACUCUAUCUCUCUGGGCCUGUUUCCUCAUCUGUCAAAAUGGGAUUAAAUGCCCGUUCUGCCUCCCCUUUAGACUAUAAGCCCCUUGUAGGCCGGGGACUGUGUCCAACCUGAUUAUCUUAGAUCUACAACAGCGCCUUGCACUCUGCUUGACACAAAGUAAGCUCUUAACUAAUAGCAGGAUUAUUAUGAUGAUGAUAGUGAUGGCGAUGAUUAUGAUGAUGAUGAAUGGGGUCAGGAAAUGUGCCUACUAACUCUUGUAUUGUAGUACUUAGUACAGU
rnacentral:lncRNA from 1 species